GCUGGUUGAACUGUGUCAUGGGUAAGCUGUUUCUUUUUAUGGAACUCUGAUUAGAUUAUUAUGCUUGUGCAUAAAAAAAGUUAAUGUUAGCUCCAAUGAAUAAACUAUGGUAUCGUAUAAAAUGUGGUUGGAGGUGACCUAUUUGUCAACCAUCAAUUCAUUAUCAUAAAAGAUGAAUGAUAUGAAAUGUUUUGCCUUUCCAAAUUUACCCGUCUAGGCCCACCUCCUUCUUCCCCUAUUGUUAGAAUUGGUGGAAUUUUUAUCAGGCUAUAUUUAACUUUAACAUAUUCCAGAUACUUGUUUUGUUUCCUUGUUUAAAUUUUGCAACUUUAAUCUCGAAUCAUUUGGGGGAAGUCACUUACUGUUGCAUUCCCAUAUAAAACACACAAGUUGAAUUUUUGAGCUACUUCUCUAUUCUUCUUCAUAUAUAUAUAUAUAUUUUUUCUUAAAUAAAAAAACAUAACAAUUCAUACUAUAUUAUUAUUAUUAUUAUUAUU
rnacentral:misc_RNA from 1 species